ACACUCCUGCGGGAGGCAGCAGUAGGGAAUCUUCGGCAAUGGGGGCAACCCUGACCGAGCAACGCCGCGUGAGUGAAGAAGGUUUUCGGAUCGUAAAGCUCUGUUGUAAGUCAAGAACGAGUGUGAGAGUGGAAAGUUCACACUGUGACGGUAGCUUACCAGAAAGGGACGGCUAACUACGUGCCAGCAGCCGCGGUAAUACGUAGGUCCCGAGCGUUGUCCGGAUUUAUUGGGCGUAAAGCGAGCGCAGGCGGUUUGAUAAGUCUGAAGUUAAAGGCUGUGGCUCAACCAUAGUUCGCUUUGGAAACUGUCAAACUUGAGUGCAGAAGGGGAGAGUGGAAUUCCAUGUGUAGCGGUGAAAUGCGUAGAUAUAUGGAGGAACACCGGUGGCGAAAGCGGCUCUCUGGUCUGUAACUGACGCUGAGGCUCGAAAGCGUGGGGAGCGAACAGGAUUAGAAACCCGGGUAGUCCCAUGA
rnacentral:rRNA from 1 species